UACGUAGGGUGCAAGCGUUGUCCGGAAUUAUUGGGCGUAAAGAGCUCGUAGGCGGCUUGUCACGUCGGGUGUGAAAGACCGGGGCUUAACUCCGGUUCUGCAUUCGAUACGGGCUAGCUAGAGUGUGGUAGGGGAGAUCGGAAUUCCUGGUGUAGCGGUGAAAUGCGCAGAUAUCAGGAGGAACACCGGUGGCGAAGGCGGUUCUCUGGGCAUUACCUGACGCUGAGGAGCGAAAGUGUGGGGAGCGAACAGG
rnacentral:rRNA from 1 species